rnacentral:rRNA from 1 species
AGAGUUUGAUUAUGGCUCAGGAUGAACGCUAGCUACAGGCUUAACACAUGCAAGUCGAGGGGCAGCAUGGUCUUAGCUUGCUAAGGCUGAUGGCGACCGGCGCACGGGUGAGUAACGCGUAUCCAACCUUCCCCUUAGUAGGGCAUAGCCCGGCGAAAGUCGGAUUAACACCCUAUGUUUUCCGUUGCGGGCAUCUAAUAUGGAACAAAGAUUUAUCGCUAAGGGAUGGGGAUGCGUCUGAUUAGGUAGUAGGCGGGGUAACGGCCCACCUAGCCCUCGAUCAGUAGGGGUUCUGAGAGGAAGGUCCCCCACAUUGGAACUGAGACACGGUCCAAACUCCUACGGGAGGCAGCAGUGAGGAAUAUUGGUCAAUGGCCGAGAGGCUGAACCAGCCAAGUAGCGUGCAAGGACGACGGCCCUAUGGGUUGUAAACUGCUUUUAUGCGGGGAUAAAGUCGCCCACGUGUGGGUGUUUGCAGGUACCGCAUGAAUAAGGACCGGCUAAUUCCGUGCCAGCAGCUGC